rnacentral:rRNA from 1 species
CCUACGAGAGGCAGCAGUGAGGAAUAUUGGUCAAUGGGCGCGAGCCUGAACCAGCCAAGUCGCGUGAGGGAAGACGGUCCUAUGGUUUGUAAACCUCUUUUGUCGGGGAGCAAAAGACGCCACGCGUGGCGUUCCGAGAGUACCCGAAGAAAAAGCAUCGGCUAACUCCGUGCCAGCCGCCGCGGUAAUACGGAGGAUGCGAGCGUUAUCGGGAUUUAUUGGGUUUAACGGGUGGGCAGGCGGAAGAUCAAGUCAGCGGUAAAAUUGAGAGGCUCAACCUCUUCGGGCCGUUGAAACUGGUUUUCUUGAGUGAGUGAGAGGUAUGCGGAAUGCGAGGUGUAGCGGUGAAAUGCAUAGAUAUCACGCAGAACUCCGAUUGCGAAGGCAGCAUACCGGCGCUCAACUGACGCUCAUGCACGAAAGUGUGGGUAGCGAACAGGAUUAGAUACCCUUGUAGUC